UAUUCAGUAUAUGGAAAGUGUUUAAGACAUUAAAUAAUAAAAACCCCAAAAAGGUCACAAAACGACCAAAUCCCACCAUUGUCCUUUUCAAACCAGUCACAAUACGAUUAUAUGCUUGCCGUUCCAAAAUCCUAAAAUCCACCUCCAUUUGCAGCGGCCGUUAACGGCACCUCAUCCGACGCUCGACCUGAAGAAUCAAUGUGAAAGAAGGAGUCGGCCUCGAAACCUAAUGAUGGGAAGAGAAAGUAAGCGAAUAAUCCGAAAAAAGCAUCUGCUCCAACAUUGGCGGACUCGAAGAAGAAGCAGCCUGUGUCGUCCUCUAAAAGUUAGAGACGGACCUCUAAAAAGGGAGAAUCGUCAAGCUCAAGAGCGAUUCAACACGAAAUUGAGAAUGAACGAGAUGUUAUUACUCGAGAAAGGCCCACUCGAGAGCCAAACUUGGCCCAAGUUCGCGUUCAGCGUGUCAAAACUCAAAAAUUAAUUCGAGUUACCUACCUUGUUUUGAGUUCAUCUUCCCACUGCAACUUAAGUUAACUUCUCUGUAUUUCUACAGUGAAGAUUCCUGCCCUAUUGACUGUUGCUUGCUUUGUCCAUCUCUUUUAGCUCUAACACGCCAUUCUGCAAUUUAACGUGGUUCUCUGUAAGUGUGCCGUUGCCUGCUUUAUCCCGUGAGAUUCCUGUGAGUUCUGGCUGCCUUUUGACCCCUUCAAGCUUCAAUUCCACUCCUUCAAGUUUCAAUUCCGUCCCAUACCCAUAACUCAAAUGCAAAUCCAUUUUUCCUCAAUCUGAGAUAGAAAAUCCCUAGCCCCAAAAUUCACCCCUCAUCUGUCCGCUUGGUCUCCGUUCAAGACGGAGAAAUUCGGUGGUAGAAAUCGAUCUCUUCGGCAACCUCCUUGGGCAACCAUCCUAGCUCGAUGUAGAAGGAAAGGGUCUCGACCUAGUGCUUUCAAGUGGCGACAUCAAAGCUACUUUCCCCUCCAUUGUAGUCGCCGGUACCUCACUCAGGGUAAAUCGUCUUUGCGUUUUGGGAAUCUCGGAGCAGAUCCAACUUACUCCUCUGUAGGCUCAAACUUAAUGGCAAGAAGGAGAGAUAAAGAUGUUAAUUGGAGCCCAGUAACUGAGGAACAGUUGCUUAGGCUUCUUGGUGAAUUCAAUUUGUUAAGCUCGGCUGGUAACGCACCAAACCGAGACAAAUACAUGCAAUGGGCGACCGUGCUAAGUAGCCAUUUUAGCGUCCCAGUUAGUUGGGAUAAAGUUAAACAAAAAGCAGGUCGGUUGAAAAGAACUUUCGACGCAGAGUUCCUACUUCGGAAUGCAACUGGACUUGGUUGGGAUCCAAUUGAGAAGAAACCCACAUGCACAGAGGAAUAUUGGCACUAUUUAUCAGUAACCACCCUGAGGUUGAAAACGCAAGGAAGAAGCCUUUAGGGGACUAUGAUUUGUAUUACUAUGCGUUUGCAAAUACACGUGCUACAGGUGCACAUGAGUACGGGCAAGAAGAACCCUGCAAGUCCACCGCACCCACCAGAGAACCUUCCGGGCAGCCCCAUUGACAUUGACGGUGGACAGUCCCAGUUCAAUGAGUUUGGUGAUACUUCAUUCACAGAGAUGAGACAAGCUUUACACCAGACUGGUCGAGUAUCACAUCUUGCCUCACAAUCACGUUUAAUUAGUAAACGGUCAAGCAGAAACAGUCAUACACGCUCACCAACUUUCAUGGAGCGUGUCGUGGAUCGCCUCGUUUCGUCUAUUGAACAAAACAAUCGCAGCCGAGCGGCCUUUUUUGCGCAUGAAAGAACACCACAGGUUGGUGUGGAUUAAACAGACAAUGGAUUCACAUGCAAAUCAACAAUUUUAUCUGCCGCCACCACCACCGCAAAUGCAUGCCCGCCUGGUCAUUUUCAGUCUAACACGCCACUAAACCCCCAGUCCCCUUAUACCUUUCACCCUUACUUUAACCCGACCAGUUCUACUUUUCAACCAUACAAUCCCUCAAACUUUUCACCCGUUUCUGGGCAACAUGGGGGAGAUGGUAGUUCACAUCCAAACUUUUCACCCUUGUUUAUGACAUUGUUGCAAUAUUGUUGUAGUUGGUUCGUUAUUUAAUUCAGAACAUGCACUAGUCUUCUAAGAUUUAGACAUUGCUAUUGUUAUGUGGUUUUUAGGCAAUUUUCUGCUAUCAGGUCCAAUUUUGGUAAAUUUUGAGGACCUCUGAAAUAGUUAUUUAU